rnacentral:lncRNA from 10 species
CAUAGGGAAAGUGACUGGAAAUGAGAGUGCAGCAUGUGGGUGGCACAUAAAGAGUUAACCCUCAGGGAUUGCUCUGCCCCAGAGCCCACCUUUGGGAUGAAGGAGCUCAUCCUUUGAGCUUCAGCUAAGGUGAGCCUGCUCUUGUGGUCUCUAAGAUCCUGGCUCACUGCCCAUCCCGCAGUGCUGCUUAGAUGAGGCUCAGCGGACAUCAACCAUCACUACCACCAGUCCCUGCAAGUAACUCCCUCAGAAAUCUGCAUUGUUCAGAAAUCUACCGUGUUCCUCUGAAGCUACUAUGGAAAGAGUUAGAUGUGACCUCCUGGAGGCACAGGUGGGAAGGCAGAGGGGCUCUCAGAUCCUGGGAGAAGCUGCCUAGGUGGCUUCUUGAGGGUGGACCUCCUACUCCCCUUCAGGAGCCUCUGCCUGGUCAUCUCGUCCUGCAAAUAAAGUGGCCAUUCUGUGGGUCUGCUCAGCCUUUUUUUUAGAGGAAGAUGGAGAUGUUUCCUCACUCGUGGACUGCACCUCAGGAAAGAUAAAGCCAGUGAAUUGAGGAUUGCGGAGUAUUGCACACAUUCAGGUGUCCUGCAGUGGACACCAUGACACUGACUCCAGCAUGCCUAGAAAUCACCAUGGGGGCUUAAGAGAGUGGCACCCCCUCAGCUCUGCCCCCAGAAUGACUGGAUUUUUGAACAGACUCCCAGGAAGUUCUGAUGUAUCUGGUUGAUGGACCACACUGGUGGAACACUGUGGGAAAGGUGGGGUGUACCCCUUUCCCAAGCAUUCUCUGUCAUCUGCUUUUAGAAAAAUAAAGUACAUGUAGAAACAU